rnacentral:lncRNA from 1 species
CCGUGUUUUGCAAAUACCGUUUCUACAUUUCUUACAGGGGCACAAGAUUAGCCCAUCGUUUGAAUUUGAGAAGGCAAAGUUAAGAAAACUAUGCAAUCCUGUUUGAUACUCUGUGCUUGACCUUGGGGAAUCCAUCCAUUUUCUAUCCAUGCUAAUCGUUUCGACUGGAAAGGCAACUAUUACAAUAGACAAUAAGAAUAUAUAUAUAUAUAUAUAUAUAUAUAUAUAUAUAUAUAUAUAUAUAUAUAUAUAUAUAUAUAUAUAUAUAUAUAUAUAUAUAUAUAUAUAUAUAUAUAUAUAUAUAUAUAUAUAUAUAUAUAUAUAUAUAUAUAUAUAUAUGUAUAUGGGUGGAGACAAACUGCAAUACAAAGUUAAGGAAUAGAAUUUUUCUGGUAUUUCUUAUUCAAACCUGUAUAACACCUUCUGUCUUUGAGUAAAAUAGCUUCAAGAUAGGGAAAUUAAUAUCUCACAAAUUAGCCUGUAUGAAAAUUUCAAACACAAUAUUUAAUUUAUGAAGUUAAUUUCCAAACAAUAAAUUUCAGAAAUCACAGUAUGAUAAUCCCAAAUCUUCAUCAGACAGCAACAAAAAAUUGAAACAAUAAAUGAAUGAAUUUUUCCAAGAAAUUCAAAAAAAAAAAAAAGUAUAAAGAAAUAUCUUAACCAGCAUUAACAUGUGAAUUUAUAUUCUAUUAUUUUAUGAAUUUAUUCCAAAGUUUUAAUAAGUGCAUCCCUUAACCUUUCUUUCAGUGUAAUCAGAUUUUUUUUACAUCACCAUACUAAAUCUCACCCAAUACCCACGUUGAACCAAAUCUCACCCAAUCCACUCUAAUUUCGUUUAAGGUGCACCAAAUUCAUGAAGUAGACGAAAGAUCAUACAACUUUGUUCGAGAAAAAAAAUUAUUAAAUAAUUUUGAAACAAAAUAUUUAGGUCAUGAAACAAAGACUUAUAUUACCUACCAGAGUUCUUCAGUAAUUUUAAUAUACCUGUCCAGAAAUCAUCACAUAUUUUGAUUGUUAAGAAUCAAAGCAGAUGACGGGGAAAUUCUCAAACUAAAUUAAAUUCACAGGCACCUGUACCGCCGUUUGCACGAAAGGAAGAAGAAACCGGGCUGGAGUGCACCGCCGAUUGAACAAAAAGGAAGAAGGAAACGGGGAAUGAAAGGGUUAGGGAUUUGGUGAAAAGCGAGAAGAAAACGGGAUAUGAAAGGGUUAGGGAUUUGGCAGAAAUCUUUUUUUUCUCCUUUGUAAGUGAAAUGGGC